GUGACUCCACUGCCAGAAGAGCCCUCCAUCCUUUCCCUUGCUCUUAUUCCUCCACUCAACUCCAACUCAAAAAGAUCAAACCAAAAGCAAAAGAAAAAGGAAAAAAAAAAAACUCAAAGCUCAAGAACUCUUCAAAUCACUAUGAGAUCUGGUUUGAGUUCCGGAGAUCGAAAGCUUGGAUUUUGGCCGUGAGAUCUUGAGAUUUCCAAUUUUUGCUCUUCUUGGAUCUCCCGAUGGGGCUUGCAUAUGGUUUAUACUAUGGACCAGAACCUCCGCCGUGGCGCCUUCUAUCAGAUGAUUAGGGUUUCCCUUCUCUCUGAGAUAUGCCUCUGAUGCCAUCUAAUCAUGCUCCAAAUAGGUGACUUCGAGAUGUAUAUAUCAAGGGACAACUUUAAUCCAAUUGUUCUAAUCCCUGCUAUGUAUCCAAAUGGCCUGCGGAAUCAACCACCACCAAUUGCUUCAACUUAGCAAUCUUGAUUAAUGAUCAUGGAAUGAAUCAUGAAUUGAUUGGCUUCAAUAACCUUGAGCUUUUCUUCUAAUGGAUUGAUCAUCCGUUCUUUCCACACGGCACCAAAGGCAUCAAAGAGCUGCUCUAACGGUUGCAGUCGUUGGGCCUCAGUGCAGUAAUGCAACUGUCAGGACAACUCUUUGACGCCAUGCGGAAAGAACGGAUGAUCAAUCUAUUAGAAGAAUAGCUCAAGGUUAUUGAAGCCAAUCAAUUCAUGAUUUAUUCCAUCAUCAUCAAUCAAGAUUGCUAAGAUGAAGUAACUGGUUCAAGCUCUAGUGAGCUUGGUUGCUAAGUGUGAUGAUGACGGAGCUGCACAUCAUCAAGAGAAGCUCUUGGAUGAAGUGGAGUUAGGCUUUGUUUUUAGCGUUGGUUCAGUUGGAGCUGAUUGAGCUGGAGCUGGAUAUUGGAAAUCUCAUGUUCAUGGCAAAAAAAUAAACAAACAAUUAAAUAAA